rnacentral:rRNA from 1 species
ACGAACGCCGGCGGCGUGCUUAACCCAUGCCAGUCGAACGGAAAGGCCCUGCUUUUGUGGGGUGCUCGAGUGGCGAACGGGUGAGUAACACGUGAGUAACCUGCCCUUGACUUUGGGAUAACUUCAGGAAACUGGGGCUAAUACCGGAUAGGAGCUCCUGCUGCAUGGUGGGGGUUGGAAAGUUUCGGCGGUUGGGGAUGGACUCGCGGCUUAUCAGCUUGUUGGUGGGGUAGUGGCUUACCAAGGCUUUGACGGGUAGCCGGCCUGAGAGGGUGACCGGCCACAUUGGGACUGAGAUACGGCCCAGACUCCUACGGGAGGCAGCAGUGGGGAAUAUUGCACAAUGGGCGGAAGCCUGAUGCAGCAACGCCGCGUGCGGGAUGACGGCCUUCGGGUUGUAAACCGCUUUCGCCUGUGACGAAGCGUGAGUGACGGUAAUGGGUAAAGAAGCACCGGCUAACUACGUG